ensembl:snoRNA SNORD15 Small nucleolar RNA SNORD15
CUUCAGUGAUGAUACGAUGACGAGUCGGAACGGUUCUGUCUGGUUCUGCUGCUCUCUGGUUCAGAUCCACGUUCUGUGGUUCUGCUCCGGUUCUUCAGAUCAGAGGAACUUUCGGUUGAAGACAUUGAGGCAUUUGUCUGAGAAGG